rnacentral:rRNA from 1 species
GUUAUGGUUCCUUAGAUCGUACAAUCCUACUUGGAUAACUGUGGCAAUUCUAAGCGUAAUACAUCGUACACACGUCCGACCUUCACGGGGAGAGCGCUUUUAUUAGUACAAGACCAACCGGGUUCGCCCGGCCGCUUGGUGACUCUGAACAACUUUUGGCGGAUCGCACGGCCUGCGCCGGCGACGUAUCUUUCAAGUGUCUGCCCUAUCAACUUUCGAUGGUACGUGCUAUGCCUACCAUGGUUGUAACGGGUAACGGGGAAUCAGGG